rnacentral:rRNA from 1 species
AUGCCGAUCUCAUCCUCUCUCUCCGCGCGCCUCGGCCCCGGUCCCGCUCCCGCGCCCGCACGGUGGGGCCCUUACGCCCGCCCCUCCGAACCCCGCAGGACCGGCGCCGGAAGCGGCUGCGCCAAGGCCUCCCGCCCGCCCCUCCGCCUCGAACCCGCGACGGAGAGACUCCUCGGGCCCGCGCGGAGGGCUGAAUCCCGCGGAUCGAGUCGCGGCGCCGCAGCCCCUACACCUGCACGACGGCGGCUUGGAGACCUGAAGAAGUCGGACCCGAAGACUGAUCCCAAGCCGGCGGGGACGAAUCCAGAGCCGAUCCAGGAGCCGCGCGUCGAGGAGAGCCGUGGCUGCGGCGGUUUCGCUUUCCUCUGCGCCCUCGCUGGACACGAGGAGGCUAUUACUGGAAUCUCUAUGCCGAUGGGGUCCGACAAGCUCUACUCUGGCAGUGCCGAUGGCUCUGUUCGCGUAUGGGAUGGCAACUCUGGCAAGUGCGUUGAUGUCAUCAAGAUGGGAGGGAAGAUUGGCUGUAUGAUCACACAUGACAAGUGGGUAUUUAUUGGAAUCCCAAAAUCCGUGGAGGCAUGGAACACACAGACAGGGAUGAAGCUAAGUCUUCAGGGACCUUCUGGGCUUGUUUGUUCCAUGACUAUCAAGGAUGAGAUGCUGUUUGCUGGCACGGCGGACGGACGCAUCAUGGCUUGGAAAUUUCCUGCUAAGGAGAUCAACUCGGAACCGGUGUCAAUCCUCGCUGGCCAUGACCGUCAUGUGAUUUCACUUGCUGUCUCCGCAACAAGGCUUUACUCUGGCUCACUUGACAAGACAAUCAGAGUAUGGGACCUUAAAAAUCUUCAGUGUGUCCAAACACUCUCUGAGCAUAAAGCUGCUGUUACUUCUGUGCUUUGUUGGGAUCAGAAGUUACUAUCUUGCUCUCUGGACAAGACUGUAAAUGUCUGGGCUGCUUCAGAAUCUGGAAACCUUCAACUCAUGCAUACCCAUUCCGAGGAGCAUGGAGUACGCACCCUCUUUGGCAUGCAUCGUCCGGGAAAGACGCCGGUUCUGCUCUGCUCCCUCCACAAGAGCAACUGCGUCCGCAUGUUGGGCCUGCCAUCGUUCGAGGAUAUUGGCACGCUCUCCUCCAAAACAGAAGUGAAGACCAUCGAACUCGCCCAGGGGCCAUCGAGGCUUCUCUUGACUGGAGAUGGCGCGGGCGAGCUGAAGGUGUGGACGUGGGCGCCCCAGGACGAGGAGUCCCCCAGCACCGGCGCUGCCAUAAACGUCAGCUAG